ensembl:lncRNA
CCUUUGUGCAUGGGCAGCCCCGCACCGUUCACCCCGCGGGGACUGAGCGCUGCGAUGUGGGCCCAAUAAAUGCAAGUGGUUAUGUUCUCACACAUCCGGGAAAUACUUCUCCAUCUUCCGCAAGUGCGGGUCCUCCGUUACCGUCAGCCGCUGAGCGCCCUGCAGCCUUCAGCGCGCCGCUCUUCCCAGCCUCUCGUGGCUCCCGUUGCGGGGAGCACUGCACCCGGUUGCCGUUUCUGAGUUGCAUCAACGUUAUUUCCUCACAUGCAGCUUUUCGCAUUUGCUCAAAUCCCAUCUACUUUUCUCAUUGCUUCUCCGGCUGGUACAGGCCAUAGAGAAGUGUCUAUUAUUCACUUAAUUUUACAGACAGGGAGACUGUUACAGGGCAUUUUAGUGAUUUACCAAAGUUAUGAAAUGAAACGGGAGCAGACGGAUGCCAUCAUUUAGAAGCUGACCCUAGACCCCUGCCUUUUCAUUUGGCGAUAUUGCCUUUUUUGUAUGUGCCGCUGCUCAUGCCAUCCUUGAAGCGAAUGAGAGUUUUCCCAUUGACUGCAACAGUUUCAGAGUAAAGCUGUCGAUUGGCCAUUUCCUUUCAAUUGCUGAAAUGUCUUUGCUUCAGACCUGUGUUCCUCUCCCAUGUCAGCUAUGACGUGAGAGAAACGACAUCAUCCUAUGUGCUUCCCUUGAUUCAGUAAGGAGGCACAUUAUAAUGAUUGUUUUACUGCAGUGCGCAGGACCCACACUUGUGAACCAGGACCCGAUUGCGCUGGGCACUGUACCAACACCGAGCAGAAAUCCAGUCCCUCCGCCGUGGACUUGUUCGGUCCAAGUGUCUGACGAGACAUAACUGAUUGAUACAGAAGGACGCAGCGGUUCUGCUGCCGUUCAGUUCACCCUCCUACUGCACCUGGGGGCUUCUGUAGUAUUAAAUCCUUGAAGCGCAUGGUAUCUCUGAAACCUCACAACCAAGCAGAGGUGGAGAUUGAUUUCCAUUGCCCCGGGAGGAAGAGAUGUGAUAUGUGGUGCUUCCCACCGUUCAGAUCCAACAGUGUCACAUCCCGCCUCAUCAGAAACAUUGAUUUGGGGCAGAAGAAGGAAGGGAAUCAAGAACUACAUUCCAUCAGCUACACUUCAACUACAGCAGCUUAUAGGAGGGCCCAGGAUGAAACACGGUAGCUUAUCAACAUCUGUAUCUCAACAGUUUUUUCGAUGAGGACUCAGUCUCUGGGAUCAACCUGCAACCUUUGUAUUUGAAGUCAGUAGUGGGAAAGUUCCAUAAAUACCAACACGGCUACAACCAAAAACCCACCAUAAAUUCUCUGCAUCACUUGACACAUUUUUUCUAGUCCCCAGUUUUUUCUUGUUGAAUCAGACAAAGUCACAUUUCCACUGAGGCUGUGGCAGUAGUCUUAUCAACCUGUACUUUGUGAUAUCCCACCAAAACCACCUUCAGUUGCUUCAGUACACUUAGCAUAUAUUGUACACAUCAAGGAACUCUACGGAAUGAUGCUAUGUUUGGAUCAAAUGCUCCUUGUACUUGAUGCAAAUUUCAGUGAAGUUAGAUUAGUUGGACAUGAAUACAUAGACUUAAGAUUCCUGAGGUUUCCAGAGUGUGAUUCGGAAUCUGGGGUGCCACUAAACUCUUGUUGAGUCUGGUGAUAGUUUCUGAAGUAUUUUUAAGUAUACGGUAUACCCGAGGACUGUACUAGGUGUUAUUUCUUUGUGGAGAAGAUUUAAACAAUGUUCUGGACACCUAUACAUUGUGCAUUUAUGAUGGAUGCAUCUAAAGACUUUAUAUCUUUUUCUCUUG